AUGAACAAGAUCCGAAAGUUUUUCCGAGGAAGUGGGAGAGUCCUGGCAUUUAUAUUUGCAGCUUCUGUCAUCUGGCUGCUCUUUGACAUGGCAGCUCUCCGCCUCUCAUUCAGCGAGAUCAACACUCAGAUCCUGAAGGAAGACAUUGUUCGGAGGGAGCGGGUAGGGUUCAGAGUUCAGUCAGACCAGGUAAAGAGCCUUGACAGCAGCAGGACGGAAAUGAAGCCCCUACCAAAGGGACACGGGAAGGGCAUGUGGGGCAAAGAGAAUUUUAGGAAGACUGAGGAGAGUAAGCUCAAGGUCGAGGAUGAUUUGGACCAAACCCAAAAGGAAAGAAAAGUACAGAACGCCCCGGGAAGAGGCAAGGUUGCGCCUUUGUGGCAUCCUGCAUAUAGGCAGACUCACCCAGUGACUUUUACCAAGUGGGAGACAGAGGGGCGAGACAUCCAACCUGCAGUUUCCUCUCACCCCAUGACACCAGAGCAAACGACAAUUCAGGGGCUUGAGAAAACUCCAUUCAUUGCAGCAAGGGGAACUCCACUGGCCAAAAUAUCUGUGCACACAGGACCUGUCAGUAUGAACAAGCAGGGCCCGAAGAGCCAUGGUCUCAACAGUGACACAUCAAAGCAAGCAGCUGAGAGGUACCCGGAUGUGACCACCAGUCUUAGUAGAUCAAAGCAGCAGUACCAGGCAGGAGUAAAUAAAAGGACCUACUCUGCCAGCCCACCAGUGCCAAGACCCAGGGAAGCCAUAGCCUUAAAUAAAACUGAGACUCAGAGCAAAGAACUGAAUGCAAAUAAACACAAAGCCAAUAAGAACCUUACCUUUUCCAAGUUCAUUGCCAAUUCAGAUCGCUUAAAGAAGCCAUCUAUUAAUAAGCUACAGUGGGGAGGCUUGCUGAAGGAUGACGGAGGCAAGGUGGCUGAUGGGAAGAAACUCAAUUUGUCUGAAAGCCAUGUUGUAAUUAUAACCAAGGAGGAGGAGCUAAAGACAGAUACCAAAGACAUCCCCAAUUCCAACACCACAACUACAUCUACUAUAGUAUCGGGCAAAAGCCAAGAGAAACACAUUGGCAUGAAGAGCAAUGAGGCAUCUUUCUCUUCACUUGCUCUACAGAGAGCAGCAGUGUCUCAAACCAGUCAAGCCUUAACUCGGGGACAGGAGCUAGGAAGGACCAACUUAACUGCCAAGACCCGGCCUGCACGACUCAACCAAAGUCAGACAAAAGCCCUUUCACCUGAAGAUGACGGAAUGCACCGUGUGUUAAGAAUUGAUGUGACGCUUUCUCCAAGGGACCCCAAAGCUCCAGGUCAGUUUGGACGUCCAGUCGUUGUUCCCCACGGAAAAGAGAAGGAGGUGGAAAGAAGAUGGAAAGAAGGAAACUUCAAUGUCUACCUCAGCGAUUUGAUCCCAGUGGACAGAGCCAUUGAAGACACAAGACCUGCUGGCACAGAGCACCAGUGGUGAAGAACCCACGUGCCAGUGCAGGAGAUAGGGGUCUGACGCCUACGUUGGGAAGACCCCCUGGAGGAGGAAAUGGCAAUGCACUCCAGCAUUCUUGCCUGGGAAAUCCCAUGGACAGAAGGAACCUGGAGGGCUCCAUCCACGGGUUCUCAAAAUAGUCAGACACGACUUAGUGCCUAAACAACAACAGAACUGAGCACAGGGCUGGGCACUCAAAAGAUUCAAGUUUAUGCAAUGUGGUUUUAAAGACAAGUUUCUCUUAAAUGAAUUUUGAAAAUUGAUGCUAUUUCUAAAAAAAUGAAUGAUAGAUAUCUAUUCAAAUUAGCUUUGUGAGAAGUCAUUUUACAAAUUAGUAAUAUUGACUUAAUAGUAACUUCCUAAUUUUUCAUUUUGGAUAUAUAGAAUAUGUUAGUGUCUUGUUUAAGGUAAAUACGUCCUCUUCUAACACUAUGAUCUAUUCAUUGUCAUGUUUAUUUACUAAUUCAUAUUUCUGUUGUUGUUUGUCUUGCAUUUUAAUGUUUUCAUUUUCAAUAGAUGAAAAUCUCCUUGCUUCAUUCAUAAGAAAGUUUUCUGCCCGUCAGUAAAAUGCAAUUUCAUUUUUGCCUAGAAUUUUUGCCUAUAAAAUAUGCUUCAAAUAAAAUACUUUUUUGACAGUCA
rnacentral:lncRNA from 1 species